AGUCGAACGGUGAAGCUCCAGCUUGCUGGAGUGGAUCAGUGGCGAACGGGUGAGUAACACGUGAGCAACCUGCCCCAAACUCUGGAAUAAGCGCUGGAAACGGCGUCUAAUACUGGAUACGAGACCAACCUGCAUGGGUAUGGUUUGGAAAGUUUUUCGGUUUGGGAUGGGCUCGCGGCCUAUCAGCUUGUUGGUGAGGUAAUGGCUCACCAAGGCGACGACGGGUAGCCGGCCUGAGAGGGCGACCGGCCACACUGGGACUGAGACACGGCCCAGACUCCUACGGGAGGCAGCAGUGGGGAAUAUUGCACAAUGGGCGAAAGCCUGAUGCAGCGACGCCGCGUGAGGGAUGACGGCCUUCGGGUUGUAAACCUCUUUCAGCAGGGAAGAAGCGAAAGUGACGGUACCUGCAGAAGAAGCACCGGCUAACUACGUGCCAGCAGCCGCGGUAAUACGUAGGGUGCGAGCGUUGUCCGGAAUUAUUGGGCGUAAAGAGCUUGUAGGCGGUUUGUCGCGUCUGCUGUGAAAAUCCGGGGCUCAACCCCGGACUUGCAGUGGGUACGGGCAGACUAGAGUGUGGUAGGGGAGACUGGAAUUCCUGGUGUAGCGGUGAAAUGCGCAGAUAUCAGGAGGAACACCGAUGGCGAAGGCAGGUCUCUGGGCCACUACUGACGCUGAGAAGCGAAAGCAUGGGGAGC
rnacentral:rRNA from 1 species